AUUGAACGCUGGCGGCCGGCCUAACACAUGCAAGUCGAGCGAGCGGCGGACGGGUGAGUAAUGUAUGGGGACUGCCCGAUAGAGGGGGAUAACUACUGGAAACGGUGACUAAUACCGCAUACUAUCGGAUAACCCAUAUGGUAUUAGCUCGUCGGAGGGGUAAAGGCUCACCUAGGCGACGAUCUCUCGCUGGUCUGGGAGGAUGAUCAGCCACACUGGGACUGAGACACGGCCCAGACGCCGACGGAGGCAGCAGUGGGGAAUAUUGCACAAGGGGCGCAAGCCUGAUGCAGCCAUGCCGCGUGUAUGAAGAAGGCCUUAGGGUGGUAAAGUACUUUCAGCGGGGAGGCGUUACCUGCAGAAGAAGCACCGGCUAACUCCGUGCCAGCCGCCGCGGUAAUAC
rnacentral:rRNA from 1 species